UACGGGGGGAGCUAGCGUUGUUCGGAAUUACUGGGCGUAAAGCGCACGUAGGCGGCUUUGUAAGUUAGAGGUGAAAGCCCGGGGCUCAGCCCCGGAAUUGCCUUUAAGACUGCAUCGCUUGAAUCCGGGAGAGGUGAGUGGAAUUCCGAGUGUAGAGGUGAAAUUCGUAGAUAUUCGGAAGAACACCAGUGGCGAAGGCGGCUCACUGGACCGGUAUUGACGCUGAGGUGCGAAAGCGUGGGGAGCAAACAGG
rnacentral:rRNA from 1 species